CCUACGGGUGGCUGCAGUGAGGAAUAUUGGUCAAUGGCCGGAAGGCUGAACCAGCCAUGCAGCGUGAAGGUCAGUGCCCUAUGGGCGUUAAACUUCUUUUGUGCGGGAGCAAUAAUGGUCACGUGUGGCCAGACGAGAGUACCGUACGAAUAAGCAUCGGCUAACUCCGUGCCAGCCGCCGCGGUAAUACGGGGGAUGCAAGCGUUUUCCGGAUUUAUUGGGUUUAAAGGGUGCGUAGGCUGUGAGGUAAGUCAGCGGUGAAAUGCCCCCGCUCAACGGGGUGAAGUGCCCUUGAUACUGCCUGGCUGGAAUGCGGAUGCCGUGGGAGGAAGGUGUGGUGGAGCGGUGAAAUGCAUAGAUAUCACACAGAACACCGAUUGCGAAGGCAUCUCACGAAUCCGCGAUUGACGCUGAUGCACGAAAGCGUGGGUAUCAAACAGGAUUAGAUACCCGGGUAGUC
rnacentral:rRNA from 1 species